CCCCACCCAAGCCUGGCUUGGUAUUGGGCAACGCGGUCCGCCGCGUGCCUCAAAUCGACCGGCUGGGUCUUCUGUCCCCUAAGCGUUGUGGAAACUAUUCGCUAAAGGGUGCUCGGGAGGCUACGCCGUAAAACAAACCCAUUUCUAA
rnacentral:misc_RNA from 1 species